UUGAACGCUGGCGGCAUGCCUUACACAUGCAAGUCGAACGGUAACGCGGGGCAACCUGGCGACGAGUGGCGAACGGGUGAGUAAUAUAUCGGAACGUGCCCAGUAGUGGGGGAUAGCCCGGCGAAAGCCGGAUUAAUACCGCAUACGACCUAAGGGUGAAAGCGGGGGAUCGCAAGACCUCGCGCUAUUGGAGCGGCCGAUAUCAGAUUAGCUAGUUGGUGGGGUAAAAGCCUACCAAGGCGACGAUCUGUAGCUGGUCUGAGAGGACGACCAGCCACACUGGGACUGAGACACGGCCCAGACUCCUACGGGAGGCAGCAGUGGGGAAUUUUGGACAAUGGGCGCAAGCCUGAUCCAGCCAUGCCGCGUGCGGGAAGAAGGCCUUCGGGUUGUAAACCGCUUUUGUCAGGGAAGAAAAGCUUCGAACUAAUACUUUGGGGCAAUGACGGUACCUGAAGAAUAAGCACCGGCUAACUACGUGCCAGCAGCCGCGGUAAUACGUAGGGUGCAAGCGUUAAUCGGAAUUACUGGGCGUAAAGCGUGCGCAGGCGGUCUUGUAAGACAGAGGUGAAAUCCCCGGGCUCAACCUGGGAACUGCCUUUGUGACUGCAAGGCUUGAGUACGGUAGAGGGGGAUGGAAUUCCGCGUGUAGCAGUGAAAUGCGUAGAUAUGCGGAGGAACACCGAUGGCGAAGGCAAUCCCCUGGGACCUGUACUGACGCUCAUGCACGAAAGCGUGGGGGAGCAAACAGGAUUAGAUACCCUGGUAGUCCACGCCCUAAACGAUGUCAACUGGGUUGUUGGGGAAGGGUUCCUUCUCAGUAACGUAGCUAACGCGUGAAAGUUGACCGCCUGGGGAGUACGGCCGCAAGGGUUGAACUCAAGGAAUUGACGGGGACCCGCACAAGCGGUGGGAUGAUGUGGUU
rnacentral:rRNA from 1 species